AGAGUUUGAUCAUGGCUCAGAACGAACGCUGGCGGCGUGGCUAACCCAUGCAAGUCGAGCGCGAACGUCUCCUUCGGGAGGCUACUAGCGCGGCGGAAGGGUGAGUAACGCAAGGGUAACGUGCCCUGGGCUGGAGGAUAGACCACCGAAAGGUGGCGUAAUACUCCAUAAGACCACGAGGAGGCAUCUUCACGCGGUCAAAGGUGGUGCUCCUUCGGGAGCAUUUACCGGCCUGGGAUCGGCCCUUGUUCCAUCAGCUUGUUGGUGAGGUAAGAGCUCACCAAGGCUCCGACGGAUAGCCGGACUGAGAGGUCGAUCGGCCACAUUGGGACUGAGACACUGCCCAGACUCCUACGGGAGGCUGCAGGGACGAAUAUUCCGCAAUGGGCGCAAGCCUGACGGAGCGACGCCGCGUGUGGGAAGAAGGCUUUCGGGUUGUAAACCACUGUCAGGGGUUACCAAGCAAUCCGGUGAAAACCGGUGCGUUGAGGCGCCCCAAAGGAAGCCACGGCUAACUUCGUGCCAGCAGCCGCGGUAAUACGAAGGUGGCAAGCGUUGUUCGGAAUCACUGGGCCUAAAGAGUACGUAGGCGGGCUGUUAAGCGUCUUGUGAAAUCCCUCGGCUCAACCGAGGAAUGGCUUGGCGAACUGGCAGCCUUGAGGCAGGUAGGGGCGUGUGGAACUCUUGGUGGAGCGGUGAAAUGCGUAGAUAUCAAGGGGAACGCCGGAGGCGAAAGCGACACGCUGGGCCUGUCCUGACGCUGAGGUACGAAAGCUAGGGGAGCGAACGGGAUUAGAUACCCCGGUAGUCCUAGCCGUAAACGAUGUCCACUAGGUUGAGGAUCUUUUGACGGACUCUCAGCCGAAGUCAAAGCGUUAAGUGGACCGCCUGGGGGAGUACGGUCGCAAGGCUAAAACUCAAAUGAAUUGACGG
rnacentral:rRNA from 1 species